rnacentral:rRNA from 1 species
UACGUAGGGUGCGAGCGUUAAUCGGAAUUACUGGGCGUAAAGCGUGCGUAGGCGGUUCGUUAAGUUCGUUGUGAAAGCCCCGGGCUCAACCUGGGAAUGGCAAUGGAAACUGGCGGGCUGGAGUAUGGCAGAGGGGGGUGGAAUUCCGCGUGUAGCAGUGAAAUGCGUGGAGAUGCGGAGGAACACCGAUGGCGAAGGCAGCCCCCUGGGCCAAUACUGACGCUCAGGCACGAAAGCGUGGGGAGCAAACAGG